GAUCAUAGCUCACUGCAGCCUCGACUUCC
rnacentral:piRNA from 1 species